GUGAGGGAGGGGGUGACUAGUGACAGAGGGAGGGUGUGACUAGUGACAGAGAGAGGGAGGGGGUGACUAGUGACAGAGUGAGGGAGGGAAGGGGUGACUAGUGACAGAGUGAGGGAGGGAAGGGGUCACUAGUGACUACCUCCCUCUGUCACUAGUCACUACCUCCCUCUGUCACUAGUCACUCCCUCCCUCUGUCACUAGUCACUCCCUCACUCUGUCACUAGUCACUCCCUCACUCUGUCACCAGUCAUCCCCUCACUCUGUCACCAGUCAUCCCCUCACUCUGUCACUAGUCACCUCUUCCCUCCCUCAC